AACGCGAAGAACCUUACCCAGGCUUGACAUGCAGUAGACGAGUUUAGAGAUAGACUUUUCCUUAGGGACUGCUGCACAGGUGCUGCAUGGCUGUCGUCAGCUCGUGCCGUGAGGUGUUGGGUUAAGUCCCGCAACGAGCGCAACCCUUAUCGUUAGUUGCCAACAUAUUAGGUGGGAACUCUAACGAGACUGCCUGGGUUAACCAGGAGGAAGGUGAGGAUGACGUCAAGUCCGCAUGGCCCUUAUGUCUGGGGCUACACACGUGCUACAAUGGCCGAUACAGAAGGAAGCCAAACCGCGAGGUGGAGCAAAUCCCGAAAGUCGGCCCCAGUUCAGAUUGUAGUUUGCAACUUGACUACAUGAAGAUGGAAUGCUAGUAAUGGCGAGUCAGCAACAUCCCCCUGAAUACCUUCCCGGGUCUUGUACACACC
rnacentral:rRNA from 1 species